rnacentral:rRNA from 1 species
CACGUAGGGUGCGAGCGUUGUCCGGAAUUAUUGGGCGUAAAGAGCUCGUAGGCGGUGUGUCGCGUCGGCCGUGAAAACCUGCAGCUUAACUGUGGGCUUGCGGUCGAUACGGGCAUCACUGGAGUUCGGCAGGGGAGACUGGAAUUCCUGGUGUAGCGGUGAAAUGCGUAGAUAUCGGAAGGAACACCAGUGGCGAAAGCGGCUUCCUGGUCCAGCACCGACGUCAGGCACGAAAGCGUGGGGAGCAAACAGG